UGCAGUCGAACGAAGGCCCGGAGCUUGCUCCGGUCACCUUAGUGGCGAACGGGUGAGUAACGCGUGGGAACCUGCCUAGGAGCGGGGAAUAACUACUGGAAACGGUAGCUAAUACCGCAUACGCCCUCCGGGGGAAAGGCUUCGGCCACUCCUAGAUGGUCCCGCGUCUGAUUAGCUAGUUGGUGGAGUAACGGUUCACCAAGGCGACGAUCAGUAGCUGGUCUGAGAGGAUGAUCAGCCACACUGGGACUGAGACACGGCCCAGACUCCUACGGGAGGCAGCAGUGGGGAAUAUUGGACAAUGGGCGAAAGCCUGAUCCAGCAAUGCCGCGUGAGUGAAGAAGGCCUUAGGGUUGUAAAACUCUUUCGCCGGUGAAGAUGAUGACUGUAACCGGUAAAGAAGCUCCGGCUAACUCCGUGCCAGCAGCCGCGGUAAUACGGAGGGGGCUAGCGUUGUUCGGAAUUACUGGGCGUAAAGCGCACGUAGGCGGUUUAUCUAGUUAGGCGUGAAAGCCCCAGGCUCAACCUGGGAACUGCGUUUAAUACUGGUAGACUAGAGACCGAGAGAGGAUGGCGGAAUUCCCAGUGUAGAGGUGAAAUUCGUAGAUAUUGAGAAGAACACCGGUUGCGAAGGCGGCCAUCUGGAUCGGAACUGACGCUGAGGUGCGAAAGCGUGGGGAGCGAACAGGAUUA
rnacentral:rRNA from 1 species